rnacentral:tRNA from 1 species
GCCUGAUUAGCUCAGCUGGUUAGAGCGUCGUACUAAUACCUCCACUGCGAGAUAUCAAGUCAUGCGAAGGUCAACAGUUCAAUCCUGUUAUUGGGCA